UACGUAGGGGGCAAGCGUUGUCCGGAAUUACUGGGCGUAAAGGGCGCGUAGGCGGAUGUGUCAGUCAGGGGCGAAAUCCCGGAGCUCAACUUCGGAACUGCCUUUGAUACAGCACAUCUGGAGUCCGGAAGAGGUGGGUGGAAUUCCUAGUGUAGAGGUGAAAAUUCGUAGAUAUUAGGAAGAACACCGGUGGCGAAGGCGGCCCACUGGUCCGGUACUGACGCUGAGGUGCGAAAGCGUGGGGGAGCAAACAGG
rnacentral:rRNA from 1 species